rnacentral:rRNA from 1 species
UACGUAGGGUGCGAGCGUUGUCCGGAAUUAUUGGGCGUAAAGAGCUUGUAGGCGGUUUGUCGCGUCUGCUGUGAAAAUCCGGGGCUCAACCCCGGACUUGCAGUGGGUACGGGGAGACUGGAGUGUGGUAGGGGAGACUGGAAUUCCUGGUGUAGCGGUGGAAUGCGCAGAUAUCAGGAAGAACACCAAUGGCGAAGGCAGCUCUCUGGGACGGUACUGACGCUGAGACGCGAAAGCGUGGGGAGCGAACAGG